GCUCAGAUGGGUGUUGUGGUGCAGUGCUGGCGUUCUUACAAAGGUGCAGCAGGCGUGAGGAAUUAGAGGCAAUCCUCCCCCCAGCACCAGGGAGCUGGAUGUCUGCACUGGGCUUUUGCAGGCUCUGCUCCAAACCUGGCUAUCGCCACUGCACCGUGACUGCUCCCCUCCCGAUAGCAGCCGCGUGCUGGGGACACUUGGUGACAGUGAAAACCCCAAGCCAGGAAACGUGCCUGGUGGCGUUCUCUGAGGGAUAAAACGGGGACUUUGAGGAGUACAAGCAGAGUUACAGAGGUGCGAGCCUAAAUACCAGACCCUGAGCUCCGCUUGUCUCUUUUGUGGAGGUUUUCUAGCGAGCAGCUCCUGGCAGUCCUCGUCCUUUGUAGCUCCUGGCAGCACGCUGUGAGGCUGUGGGAGGUUAAUUAGGGAGCCAGGCAGAGCUCAGGCUUCCACUCACAAGCUUCCAGUGACUCAGGGCUUUUCUCCAUUAAAGCUAACCUGUUUACAAGCCUGCCUUCUAUUUAUCUAACGAAGAUAAUUGUUUUCCUCCAAAAUGCUGUGAUGUCCUUGUGCUGAGGCAGUGCUCCUGAAGGUGGGUUGUUACUGGGUUCCUUUACCCCAUCCCCAGAACACCAAAAGCAAAGCUCGGGGCCCGCAGGAUGACGGAUAAGAUCUGAGCUUUCCACGUUUUCCGAGCCCAUGGACAAAUGAACAAACCCCACCAGGAGACGGGCUGCCAGCGCGUGAUGAAUAGGACGGCCGACGGGCGCACGUGAGGAGCUCAAACAAACCUCAGCCCCCGGGGCUUCGUGCCGCAGGACAACUACUGCUGACAAAACAGGUAGGAGAAAAGAGCUGCCAAGAAGUGGAGUGACCGGAGUCUGUCCGUUUGCUUAUUUAAUGCUGUGAAGGGUGGAAGAGAUGGUAGUUUAACCUCACUCUUUGUUUAGGAUUUAGGAGGGCUGUAUUUUGUGGUUAAAGGGCAGGUUUUGUUAUUAAAACCUUCUUUCAAUCACCAAGACCUUCACUAUUUGCCAUGCGAAAUUAAAUAUCUUUUAUUAGCAAUAAAUGUAAUAUAUGCAUAGUUAUAAAUUGCGUCCCUACCCUUUGCUAAUCAACAGGAAGACAGGCUGUGUCAAUUUAGAACAGUCUAUUCAUUGCGAACUCUGCAGACAAAGCUAUAAAUAAGUAUGGAGGUGGAUCCUAUCUUAGUCUAGUUAUUUAUGUAAUAAAAACACGAGUGGUUGUGGUGCACAAAACA